CAUCAGUUCGGGUUUGCACACACGCUCCCAGAAGACACCCGUUAACCCCGCUCUAGCCCUGUGGGUCAGCUCUGCAUCGCUGCCUCCUGCUCUGCGCAAGGGUCCCCAUCUCAGCCCCCAGCAGAGAGCGCGGAGGGGAUGAAUGUCAAUCUGCAUCCUUGGGUCUCGUUGCUGGUCAGGUAAUUCAGCCUCUGAUGUGCAACUUGAUUGAGGAGCGCAGCGUUGAAAAAAUAAAAACCAAUCACCCUGUCCAUCAAGAUUGUCCCUCCGGCAACAGUUCCAGGAAUCGAGACACUCUUCUGCGUGGUACCGGCGGUCCAGGUGAAGAGGUGGGCUGGAGGGUGAUAUUCAAGUCCAGGAAAGGAACCAAACACAGCUCCUGGGAGGAAGAGCUCACGUUCUCCAGAGCUGGAGGCCUCUCACUUCUCCAUGUACCUUCCAAAGCCUAUUCCUCACCGUCAGCGUGUAUGGGCACCAAGAGCAAAGCGGACCCCAUGACCAGCUCCUCCACUGUACUACCUAACUGCAGCCAAACACGGAUGGACAAAAUCUAGACUCCUUCUCAACCUAAUCGGUUGGCAACUGGAUUCAGGCACCCUCCUGGGAUGACACAGACUUUAAUAUAGAUGCUCCAGGCACAGCAUUUGGCAGCCUGCUCUCCCAAGAUAACCCCAGCAGCUGCGAUCCGGUCAGGAGAAGAUCACAACGCAGCACAGCAAAAAAUAAGGAACUAAAAGCUAUUUGCUAGAUAGGCCAGAAGGCUAAGGUUCCGAGGCUCCAUGUUGGGAAAAAGCCACCAGCAGAAAGCACGGAGGGAGCAGAGUGUGGCGCUGAGACUCCACUAGCUUUGCUGCUGGAAAGAACCACCGCGUCCCGCAUCUUUCAUCGGUACUGUUUGGUUCUUCCCCACCUUUUGUACAGCAGACAGUGACAAAUGCUCCCCCUCCAGGUACGGAUCCGAUCUGCUCUGGGCCUUCCUCUUCUGCAGACGUGUCAGGGCUAGCUUUUUCUCCGUCUCAGGACCCAGCCUGAAGGUACACCGCGGGAGUGGGAGUGGGUGUGUGAAAGAGGCAAACCGCUGUGGGCAACCAAAGCAAAGGCAGCGACAAGCCACGACAGCAAGCACAGAGCACGCGGAGCUGUGGUGGGGAGGGAACGGAGCAGAGCCCCGGCCAGCACGGCGCCAGGCAGGGACGCAUGGUGUCACCCAUGUCACGCUGCUGAGUGGCGAGAGCUGAGCUCUCUGCAUGGCUUAGAGACAGACUGCCAGCUCCAUCCACCCUCCGCCUUCGCUCCCCGAUUUCUGCGGCCCAGAUGAUAUUUCCUUUCUGCCAAGGGACAAUACUCAUUAGUAGCUGCCGAGCACUCAGAUAUCCUGCUGAUCAGAGGCUUUGGUUUCCCCGUGGUUUCUCUCAAAGGGUAAGCUGUGUAACUUUGUCUUUCACUUUUCCAAAGACUCACAUCAAAAAAGAUGUGAGUAAAAGGGGAUUCUACUUAUACGCAAUUUUUUGACAGCUGUUCGUAAAACCAAGUUGCGAGGUUUUAAGUAUUUGAUAAAACCAAAGCAGCCUGCGCAUCUCCAACUUGACUGAACACAAUCAGAAGGCUGUAAAAAUAAAAAUACAAGUGUUCUCAUGCUGUUUCAAACCGCAGUAGUUCCGCAGUCACUUAAUUCCCAUGGAGGCAGAGUUAUUGGAUUUUCAAUAUAGAAGUAGCACUGGCAGUUUCUGAUCUUUGAAGUUUAUGGAUGGGAUUGGGGCAGGAAGCAAAUAAGAAAUGCAUCAUAAACUAAACUGAAUUUCAGAUUCAUGGAUGUGUGCAAACAAAUUCCCUCAUCGCAAAUCUUGCCUGUUUUAUGCCGGAGUUCAGCUUUACUUGGUACACUCUGAGAGGUGAGCACUAGCUAGCUGAAUAGUCUCUCCGCCAGCAAUGACAAGUGUCUCUCCAUGAGCAAAGUGUGUCCAGUGACCCAUAAACCAGUACGGAAGGCGUUCAAUGCUGCCAGUUGCAACCCCACUUAUUGCUCACGUUCAAUGCUCGGGUCUUUCCUGGAGCUAAGUAAGCUGCGUGUUUGGUGUGGAUAAAUCUUCACAAAGAUCCAAGGUAUUUGUGUUCCCAUGGGCAAUAUCAAAGAACUGGUCCUGAAGUGAGAGACCACAAGCACCCUUCUCAGCUGGCCAGCCCCAGAGACAGGGCUGGGAGGACUGGAAGAGGAGUAAUGGCAGCACAGUGUGGGAAGUGCCUGCGCAGCCAUCACUCAGGGCUCUGGCUCUUUGCCUCUGUCAGAUGUGACAUCUGAAGAGGGAAGCGUCCUCCUAACUGGGCAGGGACAGAGUGCAGAGCCCUUAUCCUGUAGGUUGGGAACUUCAGGCUUCACUGAUUGCUCUGGAGAGGGAAUAUUUCCCC